GCCAGGCAUGGUGGCAUGUGCCUAUAGUCCCAGCUACUUGGGAGGCUGAGGUGGGAGGAUCACUUGAGCCCAGGAGUACAAGGCUGCAGUGAGCCAUGAUUGUGCCACUGCACUCUAGCCUGGGCAACAGAGUGAGACCCUAACUCUA
rfam:Nomascus leucogenys chromosome 19, whole genome shotgun sequence.